rnacentral:rRNA from 1 species
CCUACGGGCGGCAGCAGUGGGGAAUCUUCCGCAAUGGGCGAAAGCCUGACGGAGCAACGCCGCGUGAGUGAUGACGGCCUUCGGGUUGUAAAACUCUGUGAUCCGGGACGAAAAGGCAGAGUGCGAAGAACAAACUGCAUUGACGGUACCGGAAAAGCAAGCCACGGCUAACUACGUGCCAGCAGCCGCGGUAAUACGUAGGUGGCAAGCGUUGUCCGGAAGUAUUGGGCGUAAAGCGCGCGCAGGCGGCUUCCCAAGUCCCUCUUAAAAGUGCGGGGCUUAACCCCGUGAUGGGAAGGAAACUGGGAAGCUGGAGUAUCGGAGAGGAAAGUGGAAUUCCUAGUGUAGCGGUGAAAUGCGUAGAGAUUAGGAAGAACACCGGUGGCGAAGGCGACUUUCUGGACGAAAACUGACGCUGAGGCGCGAAAGCGUGGGGAGCAAACAGGAUUAGAGACCCCGGUAGUC